rnacentral:tRNA from 1 species
GGGCUCGUAGAUCAGCGGAACAACCCUUUCUGGCUGCGCCGAAAGCGUUGACGGAAAGGUGCGCUAAAGAUCGCCCGCUUUGCAAGCGGGAGGCCAGGGGUUCAAAUCCCCUCGAGUCCA